ACUGACAGCCAUGGUUACCGCGGCUGCUGGCACGGAGUUAGCCGGUGCUUCUUCUGCGAGUAACGUCACAGAUGUAAGGUAUUAACUUACACCCUUUCCUCCUCGCUGAAAGUGCUUUACAACCCGAAGGCCUUCUUCACACACGCGGCAUGGCUGCAUCAGGGUUUCCCCCAUUGUGCAAUAUUCCCCACUGCUGCCUCCCGUAGGAGUCUGGGCCGUGUCUCAGUCCCAGUGUGGCUGAUCAUCCUCUCAGACCAGCUAGGGAUCGUCGCCUAGGUGAGCCUUUACCUCACCUACUAGCUAAUCCCACCUGGGCUUAUCCAUCAGCGCAAGGCCCGAAGGUCCCCUGCUUUCCCCCGUAGGGCGUAUGCGGUAUUAGCAGUCGUUUCCAACUGUUAUCCCCCACAAAUGGGCAAAUUCCCAGGCAUUACUCACCCGUCCGCCGCUCGUCAUCUUCAAAAGCAAGCUUUU
rnacentral:rRNA from 1 species